rnacentral:rRNA from 1 species
UGUUUAUCUAUACCAUGUUGCUUCCACUGGACAGGUUGAUUAUGUUUUGCAUAUUCUGCCCUGUAGCUUGUUGCUUUUUUGGGUACAAGUUGGAGAGUUGCCAGUGGAUGACCUAGAAACUCUUGAAUAAAACACUGUCUUAAACUUUUUUUUUAUUGAAAAAUAAAAUAAAACUUUCAACAACGGAUCUCUAGGCUCUUGCAUCGAUGAAGAACGCAGUAAAAUGCGAUAAGUAAUGUGAAUUGCAGAUCUCGUGAAUCAUCGAAUCUUUGAACGCACAUUGCGCCCUAUAGAAUUCUGUAGGGCAUGCCUGUCUGAGCAUCAUAAUAUCUACUCAGAUCUUUGAUUAUUUUAUAUAGUCUUGGAUUUGGAUUUAAUCAGAGAAGUAACCUAUAUGAGUAGAUUACUCUUUGGAAAAAUAAAGGCAGUUAUAGUGAAACCUGUAUUAAACGUGAUAUUAAAAAGUUUCGUUUUUAAGG